UCCGGGUCGGUGUGGUUCAUCGCCGGGCCUCCAUCGCCUGGGUCAGUGCGGCGAGGCCGCGCGCGGUGUGCGUCUUCACCGAGCCGGAG
rnacentral:tRNA from 1 species